UACGUAGGGUGCGAGCGUUGUCCGGAAUUAUUGGGCGUAAAGAGCUCGUAGGCGGUUCCGUAAGUCGAGUGUGAAAAAUCUGGGCUCAACCCAGUGGAGCACUCGAUACUGCGGUGACUAGAGUACGGUAGAGGAGUGUGGAAUUCCUGGUGUAGCGGUGAAAUGCGCAGAUAUCAGGAGAACACCAACGGCGAAGGCAGCACUCUGGGCCGGUACUGACGCUGAGGAGCGAAAGCGUGGGGAGCAAACAGG
rnacentral:rRNA from 1 species